rnacentral:lncRNA from 1 species
GGGGUGUUAAGGAUGUUCUAUCUACAUAGAGGAGGGGAGAUAAGGAUGUUCUAUCUACGUAGAGGAGGGGUGUUAAGGAUGUUCUAUCUACAUGGAGGAGGGGAGGGGGGAUAAGAAUGUUCUAUCUACGUAGAGGAGGGGUGUUAAGGAUGUUCUAUCUACAUGGAGGAGGGGAGGGGGGAUAAGAAUGUUCUAUCUACGUAGAGGAGGGGUGUUAAGGAUGUUCUAUCUACAUAGAGGAGGGGAGAUAAGGAUGUUCUAUCUACGUAGAGGAGGGGUGUUAAGGAUGUUCUAUCUACAUAGAGGAGGGGAGAUAAGGAUGUUAUAUCUACGUAGAGGAGGGGUGUUAAGGAUGUUCUAUCUACAUAGAGGAGGGGAGAUAAGGAUGUUCUAUCUACGUAGAGGAGGGGUGUUAAGGAUGUUCUAUCUACAUAGAGGAGGGGAGAUAAGGAUGUUCUAUCUACGUAGAGGAGGGGUGUUAAGGAUGUUCUAUCUACAUGGAGGAGGGGGGAUAAGGAUGUUCUAUCUACAUAGUGGAGGGGUGUUAAGGAUGUUCUAUCUACAUAGAGGAGGGGGGAUAAGAAUGUUCUAUCUACUUAGAGGAGGGGAGAUAAGGAUGUUCUAUCUACAUAGUGGAGGGGUGUUAAGGAUGUUCUAUCUACAUAGAGGAGGGGGGAUAAGAAUGUUCUAUCUACUUAGAGGAGGGGAGAUAAGGAUGUUCUAUCUACAUAGAGGAGGGGGAUAAGGAUGUUCUAAUUACAUAGUGGAGGGGGAUA